UACGUAGGUGGCAAGCGUUGUCCGGAAUGACUGGGCGUAAAGGGAGCGUAGGCGGCGCGGUAAGUUAGGAGUGAAAUCCCGGGGCUCAACCCCGGAACUGCUUUUAAAACUGCCGUGCUUGAGUGAUGGAGAGGAAAGCGGAAUUCCUAGUGUAGCGGUGGAAUGCGUAGAGAUAUGGAAGAACACCAGUGGCGAAGGCGGCCGCCUGGACUGAAACUGACGCUCAGGCACGAAAGCGUGGGGAGCAAAUAGG
rnacentral:rRNA from 1 species